GGGAAUUUUGCACAAUGGGGGAAACCCUGAUGCAGCGACGCCGCGUGAUUUAGAAGGCCUUCGGGUUGUAAAAAUCUUUUGUAUAGGAAGAAAAUGACAGUACUAUACGAAUAAGGUCCGGCUAAUUACGUGCCAGCAGCCGCGGUAAUACGUAAGGACCGAGCGUUGUCCGGAAUCAUUGGGCGUAAAGGGUACGUAGGCGGUUUUUUAAGUUAGAAGUCAAAGGCUAUAGCUCAACUAUAGUAAGCUUCUAAAACUGGGAAACUUGAGUAAUGGAAGGGAAAGUGGAAUUCCUAGUGUAGCGGUGGAAUGCGCAGAUAUUAGGAGGAAUACCGGUGGCGAAGGCGACUUUCUGGCCAUUAACUGACGCUGAGGUACGAAAGCGUGGGUAGCAAACA
rnacentral:rRNA from 1 species